rnacentral:rRNA from 1 species
GUGGGGAAUAUUGGGCAAUGGGGGCAACCCUGACCCAGCAACGCCGCGUGAGGGAAGAAGGUUUUCGGAUUGUAAACCUCUGUCCUAUGGGAAGAAGGAAGUGACGGUACCAUAGGAGGAAGCCCGGGCUAACUACGUGCCAGCAGCCGCGGUAAUACGUAGGGGGCGAGCGUUGUCCGGAAUUACUGGGCGUAAAGGGUGCGCAGGUGGCCUGACAAGUCAGAUGUGAAAUACCGAUGCUUAACGUCGGGGCUGCAUUUGAAACUAUGAGGCUGGAGUGCAGGAGAGGGAAGCGGAAUUCCUAGUGUAGCGGUGAAAUGCAUAGAUAUUAGGAGGAACACCAGUGGCGAAGGCGGCUUUCUGGACUGUAACUGACACUGAGGCACGAAAGCGUGGGGAGCAAACAGGAUUAGAUACCCGAGUAGUCC